rnacentral:rRNA from 1 species
GGAAGGAUCAUUAUCGAAUUUGGAUCCGAAGGGGAAGGACGAGCGAGCGAAGUUUGCAGAAGCAUUAGAGAUGGUCGCUGGCCUUUGGAAACGAAGGCAUGUGCACGUCUCGGUCCUCGUUCUCUUUCCUUUCGUAAAUCUUUGACACCCGUGCACCUCUUGUAGGUCCCUGCGAGGGGACCUAUGUCUUCACAAACUCUUUGUAUGUCCAGGAAUGUAUCUAAAGCGUCGACCGGCUUGGCUGAACGUCCAGUCGGCGACGGUAAAGAACGUAAUACAACUUUCAGCAACGGAUCUCUUGGCUCUCGCAUCGAUGAAGAACGCAGCGAAUUGCGAUAAGUAAUGUGAAUUGCAGAUUUUCAGUGAAUCAUCGAAUCUUUGAACGCACCUUGCGCUCCUUGGUAUUCCGAGGAGCAUGCCUGUUUGAGUGUCAUUUAAUUCUCAACCAUCCCUCGAUUGAUCUUUCGAGGUUUGGCUUGGAUUUUGGGAGCUGCCGGCGACCGAUCGGGUCUUUGGCUCUCCUCAAAAGCAUUAGCGACGGCGGUGUGACCUCCCCCGUGCAUGAACGGCCUUCGACGUGAUAAUGAUCGUCGUGGGCUGGAGUGCUAGCGGGCGUCGCGUCGCGUUCGGCGCUUCUAAUCCUCGUCGAAAGACGAAAUAUAUCGAAACUUGACCUCAAAUCAGGUAGGACUACCCGCUGAACUUAAGCAUAUCAAUAA